rnacentral:tRNA from 1 species
GGGCUAAUAGCGCAGUGGUAGCGCGUAUGCUUUGCACGGUCUCGAAGACUGGAUUUGUAUAAGGUCCAGGGUUCAAUCCCCUGUUGGUCCA